AUGGUGAUCACAGGUCGGUUGAGUUACUCCUCGGAACCAGUUGUCUUUAUUCAUAUUUCGGGUGUCUUUUAUGAGUAAUUAAAAGCAGCAUAAGCCAACGCUAACAGGCCAGCGGUUUAAGAUUCGAAAGAGAGAUGAAAAGGAGAGAUUUGACCCUACACA